rnacentral:rRNA from 1 species
GUACGCUAUUCAGAGUUUGAUCCUGGCUCAGGAUUAACGCUGGCGGCGUGCAUAACACAUUCAAGUCGAACGGAAUAUGAGGAAUUAAUCCUUCGGGAAGCGUUUCUUAGUAUUUAGUGGCGGACGGGUGAGUAACGCGUGAGCAAUCUACCUUCCAGUACGGAAUAACAACCGGAAACAGUUGCUAAUACCGUAUGAAACAGCAGCACCGCAUGGUGCAACUGUCAAAGGCUUGCUGCUGGAAGAUGAGCUUGCGUCUGAUUAGAUAGUUGGUGAGGUAGCGGCUCACCAAGUCGACGAUCAGUAGCCGGACUGAGAGGUUGAACGGCCACAUUGGAACUGAGAUACGGUCCAG